CAGGGCUACCACCCCGAUGCCCCAUGAGGUGGAGAUUGCGCACACCAAGAAGCUGUUCCGGAGGAGGAGAAACGACCGAAGACGGCAGCAGAGACCUCCAGGAGGAAACAAGCCCCAGCAGCACAGUGACCACCAGCCAGGCAGUGCCAAACACAACAGGGACCAUCAGAAGUCCUACCAAGGGGGCCCAGUGCCUCAUGCCUCAGGGAGGCCUACCCACCACGGCUACAGCCAGAACCGGCGCUGGCACCACAGCAAUAUGAAGCACCCACCAGGCGACAAAGGGGAGGCAGGUGCCCACCGCAAUGCCAAAGAGACCAUGACCAGCGAGAGCCCCAAACUUGACACCCUAGGGGACACUGGGCACAGUGGCCUUGAACCCCCCUCGCAGCCCUGAUGCCCCAGUCCCACCAGCAUCCGAGAGGCUACCCACGCCAGUGCCAGGGGGACCAGAGGCUGAGACAAAGCGUAAAGACAGUAUUAUUCCCGGCGCGCACGGGGAGCGGCCCAGAAUUACCCUGCUCCAGUCCUCCAAAGACAGGCUUCGCCGAAGGCUAAAAGAAAAGAAGGACUUCACGGUGCGCCGAGGAGCUGCAGCAGCAGGACGUGGAACGCUGGCUGGGCUUCAUCACCUUCCUGUGUGAGGUGUUUGGCACCAUGCGUAGCAGCACCGGAGAGCCCUUCCGCGUACUGGUGUGCCCCAUCUACACUUGCCUCAGGGAGCUUCUGCAGUCUCAGGAUGUGAAGGAAGAUGCUGUCCUUUGCUGCUCUAUGGAGCUACAGAGCACAGGGCGACUGCUGGAAGAGCAGCUGCCCGAGAUGAUGACGGAGCUUCUAGCCAGUGCUCGAGAUAAGAUGCUGUGCCCCACAGAGUCCAUGCUGACCCGGUCUCUGCUCCUGGAGGUCAUCGAGCUCCAUGCCAACAGCUGGAACCCACUGACACCCCCCAUCACGCAGUACUACAACAGAACCAUCCAGAAACUGACAGCCUGACAGCCAGGGGGCCUGGCGGGCGGCCCAUGGGCAGCUGAGGCCCUGGUGCACAGGGCCAGAUGGACAGGCGGGAGGACAGGGGUGGCCCUGGUGGGAGAAAGAAAUGGGGAGGAAGGCAAGCAGAGUCGGUGGCCAGUCUGGAGCCAGCCAGGAAAGUGAUCAAAUCCCUCAGAAGAGCCCCCCUAGGCAUAAACACCCCCACCUGAGCCUGAGCAUGCGGCAGCUCCUACCAACAAGGGAAGCAUGUUUCUUUUCCAUGGUGGCCCUGGCCCUAGACCUCCCUCACUCCCACCCCUCUCCACCCCCUGCCAUCCAACUCCUCCACCUCAAGCAGAGAUCUCAUCUCUGCUGCUCCUCAGAGGCCCCUGCCCCCCUGCAGCUCUGAACACCAGCCUCCCACACCGGGGCACUGCUUGGGUCAGAAAAGACCUCAGAAGGCUGAAAAAGUGGGUCGAGACGGGCUCCCAUUGUUUCCUUCGUGCUGUCAGCCGCAGUUGCCAACUGGCAGCAGGCGACAUGUAGCAGAUGUCCGGGAGGACAAAGGCAGGCACGGUCCCCACCAGCCGCCAGUAAUUGACGGCCUUUGUCAGCCACAGUGGAGCUAGGGAGAGGCGCUUUGCUCUGCUCUUCACACCCCACCCUCCCAAGCUCAGUUCCUCCAGCCUUGCCCCCCCACACCCCGCCCAGGCCUAGGAGGCUGGCAGCCGGGAGGGGAGCUGGAGCUUGCAGCUCAGUUUGCACCCUUUUCUUUUGUUGUGUUUUAUUUUUCAAAAGUCGGUUGCUUUGAAGUCUCUUCUCUCAAUGAAAAUACCCUCGAUGUGAUCACAUAGUCAGCCCUGCAAGGACGCCCUGAUUAAUGGAAGAUCAAACCCGGCCUCCUCUGGAAAGAUUCUAGCCAUAGACAGCUUGCCAGUAGCCAAUUAGGGUAAUUGGAAACUUCUGCCCCCGCGGGGGUCCCCUGCUGGAAUUCUGUGUUCCUCCCCCCUGGCCUGCAGCGACUCUGCUCUCCAGUUUCUGUCUCUCAAAGGAUCUGGUACUUCGGCUGCUGGACUGUAUUAGACCUGGUCCUGGCCAUGGGGGUCUUGUGGCAAACAGGGCCCAGAACAAGUUUGGUAAACUAAAACCAAAGUGAAAGUCUUGUCCCAAGCUCCUAGUGGGGAGAAGGAUUCGGUGGGAGCUGCCUGGCUCCCGGGAUUUGUCUAAGUUAUUGGGCUGUGUCAUUGCCUGAGCCUUAUCCUAGACAGGAUCCAGAAGCCUGCCCCUUCCAGCUAUUGGGAAAGGGAGAAAUCAUUGAGUCAUAAGAAAGACAGUCAGGUGGGCCCCCCUGAUGGAGCUUUCCAGGCUGGAAACAAGGCUGGGGAUUCUUGGAAGGCCCUGUCUUGGGGAGCAGCCUCUUCUAUGAGGGCUAGAGAGGAAGGUGGGGUCAAGCUCUGGGAUGCUAGCAUCAGGAUCAUGACCAGUGUCCACACAGUCCAUGUCUGAAGUGUGGAGCCCAUGCUUUGAUGAGCCCCCAUGAAAUGCCAUCAGAACCCAGCAGCUUCCUGAUUUGCUCCUUUAUUGAGGUUGGUCAUACCCUAGGUCACAUUGGAAACCUUUUAUGGCCUCCUGAUCCAAAUCAGACUGGCUGGGAGGUAAAGGGUGGGUAAGGUUUCUGCUGAUUGUUUCUGGGUCUAGGAAGAAGUUCUCCAUUCAAGCCUGAUUUGCCCCCACUGAAACUGGCCUUCUAGUGCUAGGAUGGGGGCCUGUGCCAGUCCCCCCCAAAAAGCCUACUUGGGAUGAGGUAUGGGGCCACAGUUUCCCUUUAAAUAGGUCAGUGGCCUCUGCCAAGAAGCCCACACUGGCCCCUGGCUCCUGCCUUCCUCCCCUGCUCCUCCUUCCCAGGCUUUCUCAAGAUGCUCCCUUAGCUACUGCGCCUGCGCCAGCCCUUAGCCCCAGCCUGGAGCCCAGGGACACCAGAAACCCCACAGGAGGCCUUGAAGGAAGAGUGGGGCUGAUAUCAGGAUGCUCAGAGAGGGCACUAGGGAAAUCAUGCUCUCAUGGAGUCAGGCAGCCCUGGCCAGGCAGCUGCUCCCGUCAGCCUCAGAGGGCCACACCUAUGCUUAUAAGGGCCCCCUUCCUUCAGGGGUGUGUGUGUGUGUGUGUGUGUGUGUGUGUGUGUGUGUAAGCAUUUUGUGUGCAUCAGCAAAGAACAAAGCAGGGUUCCCAGAAGACAGAGGUCUGAAAGUUGGGUCUCCUAGACCUCUUGGGCUCGCAGGCAAGCUCCAUGAAGGGGACUCUCAAAGGUUGUGUGGAGGGGCUAGUGUCCCGUGUGGAAGCAAGAGGCAAUUGACACUGUGGGCACUGAGGGUCAGAUGUGCCUCCCUCCUGAUGGCCUGUUUGUUGGGGGUCUUGCCUCAGGGCCAGCCCCUGUUUGGCCAUAAAGACUAGUGUGAAGACAUGAGAUAUAAAUAUGUAUUAUAUAUAAAUAUAUUUUUAAUUAUGUGUUGUGUCACGGUGGCUCCAGACGUACACUUUGCCUAAUUUGUUCCAUUGCUUGAAAGCACUUCCUGGCCCAUCUGAAUAACACUUUUGGCUGUUUUUCUAAAUGCAGGUUGCUGCUACUUUUUCAGACAAGGAAGGAAAACAUUUUUUUUUUUUUUUUUUUAAAGAAACACAGCAAAGCCUAAAAUUUAAGAGUCUAGGGCAACUUCCCAUGGGAGACAUCUCAGACAGGAACCAGGGGGCAGAAGUAGGCGCCCCGAAGACCCCUGCCCCUUCCCUGUGCCAGAGCCCCCUCUGCUGCAAAAGAAAGACCAGCUGGAUGUUGUGUCCCACUUGGUGGCAGGCCUUGGAGCAUGGAAGAGGCAGCCUGCAGGCAUCUCACGCUCCAGUCCUCGGCCCCUUCCUGUCAGGAUGAGUUAGUUUUCCUCUCCAGCAGCCCCUUUGCCAUAGUCCUGCUCCCCACGGCCUGGUGGCUUUGCCUGAGCUCUGGUGCCCCAGUCCCAGAAGGGCUCCCAGGCUCCCCCGGAUGAGGUUGGGAGCUCCAUCGUCAUCCAUGGGGACCGUGCACCCCAGAACCCAGCUUUGUCUGUUUGUCUUUCCUUAACCAGUCUGUAAACCUUUAUAGUUUGGGGAGCGUCCUGUCCAUCUGUGUAAAUGUAAAUGUUGACCUAGUCGGUAUUUAUUCUAAUUUUUAUGUUAUUUUAUUUUCUCUGAGG
ensembl:lncRNA